GCGCCGAUAGUGUAGUGGUUAUCAUUCUUGCCUUCCAAGCAUGAGACAGGGGUUCGAUUCCCCUUC
rnacentral:tRNA from 1 species